rnacentral:rRNA from 1 species
AACGAACGCUGGCGGCAUGCCUAACACAUGCAAGUCGAACGAGAUCUUCGGGUCUAGUGGCGCACGGGUGCGUAACGCGUGGGAAUCUGCCCUUUGGUUCGGAAUAACAGUUGGAAACGACUGCUAAUACCGGAUGAUGACGAAAGUCCAAAGAUUUGUCGCCAGAGGAUGAGCCCGCGUAGGAUUAGCUAGUUGGUGUGGUAAAGGCGCACCAAGGCGACGAUCCUUAGCUGGUCUGAGAGGAUGAUCAGCCACACUGGGACUGAGACACGGCCCAGACUCCUACGGGAGGCAGCAGUGGGGAAUAUUGGACAAUGGGCGAAAGCCUGAUCCAGCAAUGCCGCGUGAGUGAUGAAGGCCUUAGGGUUGUAAAGCUCUUUUACCCGGGAUGAUAAUGACAGUACCGGGGGAAUAAGCCCCGGCUAACUCCGUGCCAGCCGCCGCCGUAA